rnacentral:rRNA from 1 species
UACGGGGGGGGCAAGCGUUGUUCGGAAUUACUGGGCGUAAAGGGCGUGUAGGCGGCCAACUAAGUCCGACGUGAAAUCCCCAGGCUUAACCUGGGAACUGCGUCGGAUACUGGAUGGCUUGAAUCCGGGAGAGGGAUGUGGAAUUCCAGGUGUAGCGGUGAAAUGCGUAGAUAUCUGGAGGAACACCGGUGGCGAAGGCGCACAUCUGGCCCGAUACUGACGCUGAGGCGCGAAAGCUAGGGGAGCAAACGGG